AUUUUGAUGGCUGAAUUUAGGCGAUAGAUUGUAAAUCUAUUUAUGGCGAAAGUCUCGAAGUU
rnacentral:tRNA from 1 species